rnacentral:misc_RNA from 1 species
GAAUUCCUCAACCUUUUCAGCUUUUGUUGAAUAGGCUUGGAUUUUGGGAGUUGUUGCAGGCUGCUCAGAAGUCUGCUCUCCUUAAAUGUAUUAGCGGGCCCUUUUUGUCUAGCAUUUGGUGUGAUAAUUAUCUACGCCAUUGUGAACAAUGUAAUAGGGAGUUCGGCUUCUAAUCGUCUCGUAAAGAGACAAUCUCUGACAUUU